rnacentral:lncRNA from 1 species
AGCAAUAGCUUUAAUAAUAGAAGAGCUGUCUCUCAGUUGUCCAGUUCUUCUCUGCUUACUGAAGUAAUAUGGUGACUACAGACACCCAUGAGCCUUACAGAUUUUAAAACAAGUUGACUGAAGAUGUGAUAUACGCCAACUUUGACAAAGAAGGGAAACUAUCGCCACAUGCCUGCAUUCUUGUUGACCGAAGCUUUUUACUUCUCACUUGAAUCUCAUUUUUAAUCCUCAGAAAUAUACUUUCCUCCUCAAUCAUAGUGAUUCAUAACCUUCUAAAACCUUACGAUUCUGAAAACCUACACAAACACUUUGGGACCUGUCCCAGCCCUUGACUCGCUGUGAGUAUGGAUUUCAGUGACCUUGUUAUCUUUUAUUUGGUGGGUUUUGUACCUGGAGUUAAACAUUCAUGACUGUAUUCACCUUCUAGGUCGGUAUUCUUAAGAUGACCACAGUGAGUAGCAUUGAAGAGCCAACGUUCAAAUGAGUAGCAUUGAAGAGCCAAGAGCCAACAUUCAAAUGCUUCUCCCACAAGAGAUUCAGCAUUCUGCAGAGCUGGAUGAUUCUCAGAUCACCACUUAGCUUCCUGAAGCCAGCAGCCUAUGUCAAAGAAGUUCCAACAAAUGCAAACCUAAAUAUGAUAAAUGGAAGGAGGAGAAUGUGUGGGCUCAAAGAACUCAGGCAGUAAUGAAAAACCGGGAGGAAGUGAAAUGAGGUAAUUUGAUGCCAGCAUGGAAUAUUGGACUAAAAUAUUUGAAAAAGAAGC